AGUCUUCGGACUUUAGUGGCGGACGGGUGAGUUACGCGUGAGAAUCUGGCUUUAGGUCGGGGACAACAGUUGGAAACGACUGCUAAUACCGGAUAUGCCGAGAGGUGAAAGAUUAAUUGCCUGAAGAAGAGCUCGCGUCUGAUUAGCUAGUUGGUGGGGUAAGAGCUUACCAAGGCGACGAUCAGUAUCUGGUCGGAGAGGACUAUCAGCCACACUGGGACUGAGACACGGCCCAGACUCCUACGGGAGGCAGCAGUGGGGAAUUUUCCGCAAUGGGCGAAAGCCUGACGGAGCAAUACCGCGUGAGGGAGGAAGGCUCUUGGGUUGUAGACCUCUUUUCUUAGGGAAGAAAAAAAUGACGGUACCUAAGGAAUCAGCAUCGGCUAACUCCGUGCCAGCAGCCGCGGUAAUACGGAGGAUGCAAGCGUUAUCCGGAAUGAUUGGGCGUAAAGCGUCCGCAGGUGGCAUUUCAAGUCUGCGGUCAAAGGUCGAGGCUCAACCUCGAACAGGCCGUGGAAACUGAAAAGCUAUAGUGUGGUAUGGGCAGAGGGAAUUCCCAGUGUAGCGGUGAAAUGCG
rnacentral:rRNA from 1 species